rnacentral:rRNA from 1 species
AGGAUAAACGCUGGCGGCGUGCCUAACACAUGCAAGUCGAACGCCCUUGAGCAAUCAAGGGAGUGGCGGACGGGUGAGUAACACGUGGGUACCUACCCCAAGGUGAGGAAUACCGGCGAGAAAUCGCCGACAAUACCGCAUAGGUUUCCUCAACGAGGAAACAAAGCUCGCAAGGGCGCCAUGGGAAGGGCCUGCGGCCGAUUAGCUAGUUGGUGAGGUAAGAGCUUACCAAGGCGACGAUCGGUAGCUGGUCUGAGAGGAUGAUCAGCCACACUGGGAUUGAGAACGGCCCAGACUCCUACGGGGGGCAGCAGUGAGGAAUUUUCGUCAAUGGGGGCAACCCUGAACGAGCAACGCCGCGUGCAGGAAGAAGGUUUUCGGAUCGUAAACUGCUUUUCUCUGGGACGAGAACGGACGGUACCAGAGGAAUCAGCCCCGGCUAACUACGUGCCAGCAGCCGC